rnacentral:sRNA from 1 species
GACCUCGUUAGGUGAGGCUCCUAUACAAACACAUGCCACUGCCCAGAAAUAUCGAAAGAUGCCUAUGGGUAGAACAGGAAUUGCCGGACUAAGGCUUUUCAUAAUGUGGCUAAGACAAACCGUCUUUACGUUGUAUAGUGCCAAAACUCG